rnacentral:rRNA from 1 species
CGUGGGUAACCUGCCCAAGAGAUCGGGAUAACACCUGGGAACAGAUGCUAAUACCGGAUAACAACAGAUGAUGCCUAUCAACUGUUUAAAAGAUGGUUCUGCUAUCACUCUUGGAUGGACCUGCGGUGCAUUAGCUAGUUGGUAGGGUAACGGCCUACCAAGGCGAUGAUGCAUAGCCGAGUUGAGAGACUGAUCGGCCACAUUGGGACUGAGACACGGCCCAAACUCCUACGGGAGGCAGCAGCC